rnacentral:rRNA from 1 species
AUUGAACGCUGGCGGUAUGCCUUACACAUGCAAGUCGAACGGUAGCACGGUAAGCUGUCGCUCUUACGGCGGGCGAGUAGCGUAUCGGUGAGUGAUACAUCGGGGUCGACUUCUUCGCGGAGGAGCAGCUAGUACAACUUACGCUAAUACCGCAUACGACCUAGAUCGCAAAACAUCGCGCCUUUGGAGCUGCCGCUAUCAGAUUAGCCGAUUUCUGAUUAGCUAGUUGGCGGGGUAAAGGCCCACCAAGUCGACGAUCCGUAGCUGGUCUGAGAGGAUGAUCAGCCACACUGGGACUGAGACACGGUCCAGACUCCUACGGGAGGCAGCAGUGGGGAAUAUUGGACAAUGGGCGCAAGCCUGAUCCAGCCAUGCCGCGUGCGUGAAGAAGGCCUUCGGGUUGUAAAGCGCUUUUGUUAGGGAAGAAAAGGAGCAGGCUAAUACCUCGGUGUCAUGACGGUACCUGAAGAAUAAGCACCGGCUAACUACGUG